UUUUUUAUUAGUGUGCUCGCGAGGAUACAACAAUCUCCUGCCUACGUAUCCUUAUGGUGCAAUAAGGAAAUCAGAGCAUUCGUAGUUCGGGCUACUACGAAUAUUUGGUGUGUUUUGGUUUUGAUGAACGACUGUGUAGGUCGGCAUUCUAACGGCUAAACGCUGGCUUGUCUACUCUCGGUGGAGGCUCUAGCACUGGUUUGUUGGGCGCAUUAGAAAGGAUUUAUAGUGUUCUUUUGAAAGAGCUUUGGUCACGCGGGGGUGACAAGUUGAAUUGAUGUGUUUGGGUGUUUUUGGUUUGGUUUCGAUCGCGCGGGAGCGAGAAGUUAGGUUUGAUUUGUUUGAGAUGUUUUGAAGAACGACGAAAGAUUGAGCAAUAUGGUGUACAUCAAUCGUCCAAUUCUUUCGAGGAAUAACAAGGCGAACGCCUUCUACCUCUUUUUCGUUCAAAUCAUUUUGAAAGUUUGUUUGUGGAUGUUGAAUACGCACGGUAGUGAGGCGUACGCCUCCUACUUGCUUAUUCAAAGAAUAAUGAGGCGUGCGCCACUUAUUCCUUUAUCCAAGUUUAUUUAGCAUGUUUUAGUCGGAAGUCGAUAAUUUAUGCAAUAUGGCGUACGCCAAUUAUUCAAAUAAUCGAGAGAUGGCAAGGCGAACGCCUCCCAUCUUUUAUCAUCCGAGGUUUAUUGUAAAAGAUAUGUUUUUAGAUAUUGUAUUUGAUUUGGAAAAUAGUUUGAAUUGGUAGGUUUUGAAAAGUCGAUGAUUUAAGCAAUGUGACAUACGCCAAUUAUUCAAAUAAUCAAGGAAUGGUGAGGCGAAUGCCUCCCAUUCUCAAUUGAAGUUUAAGUUAAAGUUUAUUUUGUGAAAUUGGAUUUGAUCUAAAAUGUGAUUUGAAAUUGUAUGAUUAAGGUUUU
rnacentral:lncRNA from 1 species